rnacentral:tRNA from 2 species
GGCCUGAUAGUUCAGUGGUAGAAUUCUUGCUUUGGGUCACCUAAAUGUAAGAGGUCUCCGGUUCGAUCCCGGAUUAGGCCC